GACGAACGCUGGCGGCGUGCUUAACACAUGCAAGUCAGGGGGCUCCGCAAGGGGUCACCGGCGAACGGGUGCGUAACACGUGAGCGACCUGCCCUGGUGUGGGGGAUAGCCGGCCCAACGGCCGGGUAAUACCGCAUACGACAUCUGGCCCGCAUGAGCCGGAUGUGAAGCCUUUUUUGGGCGCUAGGAGGGGCUCGCGGCCUAUCAGCUAGUUGGUGCGGUAACGGCGCACCAAGGCGACGACGGGUAGCUGGUCUGAGAGGAUGGCCAGCCACAUUGGGACUGAGAGACGGCCCAGACUCCUACGGGAGGCAGCAGUGGGGAAUCUUGCGCAAUGGCCGAAAGGCUGACGCAGCGACGCCGCGUGGAGGAUGACGGUCUUCGGAUUGUAAACUCCUGUUGCCCGGGACGAACACACCCUUGCGAGGGUGCUG
rnacentral:rRNA from 1 species